UAGCAGGUACCUGUAAUCCCAGCUACUCGAGAGGCUGAGGCAGGAGAAUCACUUGAACCCGGGAGGUAGAGGUUGCAGUGAGCAGAGGCUGCGCCACUGCACUCCAGCUUGGGUGACAGAGGGAGACUCCAUCUCAAAAAAUAAAAUAAAGGGUCAUUAUAAAGGACAGUGAGGUCACGAGGGUGGGCCCUCAUCCGAUAUGACUUAUGUCCUUGUAAGAAAAGGCGAUCAGGACACAAACAUGUACAGAGGAAAGACGCAGGGAGAAGAUGGCCACGGGCAAGCCAAGGACAGAGGCCUCAGCAGGAACCAACCCUGCUGACCCCCAAUCUUGGCCUUCCAGCCCCCAGAACUGUGAGAACAAUCAGCUUCUGUUGAAGCUGCCCAGGUGAUGGUACUUUGUCGCUGUGGGUGAGGUGAGGCCC
rnacentral:lncRNA from 10 species